rnacentral:snRNA from 1 species
UCUUCCUUAAUUGGGAGAGUC